rnacentral:rRNA from 1 species
CUACGGGGGGCAGCAGUGGGGAAUAUUGGACAAUGGGGGAAACCCUGAUCCAGCAAUGCCGCGUGUGUGAAGAAGGCCUGCGGGUUGUAAAGCACUUUCGGUUGGGAGGACUGCUUCUAGCACUAAUAUUGUUGGAAGUUGACGUUACCUUCAGAAGAAGCACCGGCUAACUCCGUGCCAGCAGCCGCGGUAAUACGGAGGGCGCAAGCGUUAAUCGGAAUUACUGGGCGUAAAGCGCGCGUAGGCGGCUAGAUCAGUCGGUUGUGAAAGCCCCGGGCUUAACCUGGGAACUGCAUCCGAUACUGGCUAGCUUGAGUACAGGAGAGGAGAGUGGAAUUCCACAUGUAGCGGUGAAAUGCGUAGAUAUGUGGAGGAACACCAAUGGCGAAGGCAGCUCUCUGGCCUGAUACUGACGCUGAGGUGCGGAAGCGUGGGGAGCAAACAGGAUUAGAUACCCCAGUAGUC